UACACCCCGGGUGGUGCCCGUCCCUCUCCCCACCCCUGGUGUCCCCGCAUCCCCGCAGACACGGAGGGCUGUGACCACAACUGGCAGAAGUUCCAGGGCCACUGCUACCGCUACUUCUCCCGGCGGCGCUCCUGGGAGGACGCAGAGCGCGACUGCCGCCGGCGCGCCGGGCACCUCACCAGCAUCCACUCACAGGAGGAGCAUGGCUUCAUCAACAGUUUUGGGCAUGAGAACACCUGGAUCGGGCUCAACGAUAGGAUUGUGGAGCAGGACUUCCAAUGGACGGACAACACUGGCCUGCAAUACGAGAACUGGAGGGAGAACCAACCCGACAACUUCUUUGCGGGCGGUGAGGACUGCGUGGUGUUGGUUUCCCACGAGAUCGGCAAGUGGAACGACGUGCCCUGCAACUACAACCUGCCCUACAUCUGCAAGAAAGGCACAGUGCUUUGUGGGCCCCCCCCGGAGGUGGAGAACGCGUUCCUCGUGGGGAAGAAGAAGGAGAGGUACAGCAUCCACUCGAGCGUGCGCUACCAGUGUGAGGAGGGCUUCACCCAGCGCCACGUCCCCACCAUCAGGUGCCACAGCAAUGGCAAGUGGGACCGGCCCAAACUGCUCUGCACAAAACGUUAGUGAGGUCUGGGGGGAGAGGGUUGGGGGGUGGGCUGUAGGGAUGGGGGCUCCCUGCCCCCCCCACGUCGCCGCUCUUUGCCCCCCGGCGAAAACACCGCAAGCACCUCCGGCUGGACUGGAUGGAGGAGGGCCACUACUUUUAGGGCCGGGGAGGCAGCGAGUGUGCGGUCCCCAGGCACCCCAGGAACAGCCGUCCGUGGGACGGGACGUGGUGACGUCCCCUGACCCCCUCCAGCCCACCGGCCCACCUCUUUUAUAACCCUCUUUGCUUUAGCUCCUAGGAUGCCCGGCCCCGUAGGGAAUAGGACCCAGCGGGGGCGGCUGCGGGUGCGUCCCCAGCCCCCCCCUGCAUGCCCCACCCCGGGAGCGGGGGCGGCUGCGUGUGCGUCCCCAGCCCCCCCCUGCAUGCCCCACCCCGGGGUCGAGCCCCUGACCCUGCAUGGGGAUCCCGAAAUCCCCGCUGGGUCCUGGGGGGGCUGCCCCAUGGCGGCCGAUGGCCCCCUGGGCUCUGCUCCCCUCCAGGCUGUGGGGGGACACGCAGCAGCCCCCACCCAUCACCCCACUGCCCCGUGGGGGGCUCCGGUUUUUUAACAGCCCCCCCCCGUCUUCCUGCCCCACCAGUGUCCCCACAGCCAGCACGGGGUCCCUGUCCCCCCCUGUGGGACCCUCUGGGCUGGAUUUUGGGGUUGGGUUUCCCUUUUUCCGUUCAUUGUCGGUUCCCCGUUGGAGUUGGCGUGUGUGUGUAUGGCGCUUUCUGAUCUCUGCUGUUUGCGAUGUGACUGCAGUGUCCCGUACCCCCUCCCCUCCUCCGUGGCAUUUCUGACUCUGCGUUUCUGUACUGCUGGAC
rnacentral:lncRNA from 1 species